CAGCCGCCGCGGGAAUACGUAGGUGGCAAGCGUUGUCCGGAAUUAUUGGGCGUAAAGGGCUCGCAGGCGGUUUCUUAAGUCUGAUGUGAAAGCCCCCGGCUCAACCGGGGAGGGUCAUUGGAAACUGGGAAACUUGAGUGCAGAAGAGGAGAGUGGAAUUCCACGUGUAGCGGUGAAAUGCGUAGAGAUGUGGAGGAACACUAGUGGCGAAGGCGACUCUCUGGUCUGUAACUGACGCUGAGGAGCGAAAGCGUGGGGAGCGAACAGGAUUAGAUACCCCCGUAGUCCCUGUCUCUUAUAC
rnacentral:rRNA from 1 species